UCUUACUGUAAAAAAAACCCACAGACAUGUUGAGUAAAUUUUUAUAACUUGAAAUGCAAAUAUAAAUUGUACAUUUUGUAAACAUAUACAACUAUUUAUCUAAAAAUGCAGCCAAUACACCUGCCGUUUUUUUCAUUUUGUACAACCAUUUAAAAAUAUUACUAAAACCAAAAUGAGAGAACAAUCAGGUGUCGCAAUAAGAUGCCCCACAAAUGAUGUGUGCCAGUGAAAAAAAAGUUUGUCCACCAAAAGAGAGAGGAGAACAGCACAGGGAUAAACCUGCAGGCCUGACAGCAGGAGGUGUAUCACUGUCAUAUGCAAACACUAUGCAAUAUAUUCAGUUUUAGCAUUUAUAUUCACUGUUGACUGUAACUACGCUCAAACUGUUAAUGCUAUCUUAUUUUAAUAAACAACACUGUCAUAUGCAAAACUGGGGUGGCACUUGGGGUGGCAAGGGAUCAUUUUAGGGUGGCACUUGCCACCCCAUGCUACCCUUCUAGAUCCCAGCGCCGUAGCUCCGCAAACGCACAUAACGCACACUGCGUAGGGCACCAAAUGGCCGGUAGGGCACCAAAAAAAUCAGGGUCGUAAAAAAAAAAAAAGUAAACCAUAUUAAUACUAUAAAUAUCAUAUGCAUUAAUAUGGUUAAACAAUACAAAAGCAACAUAAAACAAUUUUCCCGAGAAAAGGGGUGAAUCUGCUUUGUGCCCUGUCUCCAGUCUCCUCCUGGUGCCCCCCCCCCACUCCCAGUGGUCUGUUCUAUAAUGCCUCAAUUCGGUAUUGGUAAACACCUGUUUGAACAUGGCCUCGAAACGGCAACAGGAGUCGGGAGCGGAGAAAAGAAAGAAGAAGAGGAAGCGUGAUGAAACUCAGGCGUCGCUUGCCGGGUCAAUGCUUAAAUAUGUUCAAGGAGGAUCUCAAGGACAGGAUGAACCAUCCAGUAGUAGUGCCAUCCCUGGACAUCAACCACCAGCCAUUGUAGACCCUGCAACAAUCCCUAGCCAAGAAGAACAAGAACCAUCAACCACCAGUUCAGGUACAGUUCCAUACACAAGUACCACUGAGAGUCCUGUCACUGAGAGACUAUCAGAAAGUGACACUGUGGAGACAUGUGUGCCCCCUUCAACCGAUCCUGCUCUUUGGCCAGCUCACAUUGUAGAUGCUGAUCGUGUUGAAAUUGUGCGGAGAGGUCCUUUUAAUGUCAGCUCUGAUUUUAAUUUUCCAAAGGGGCCUGAGUAUUUAUUUGUAACAGUAUUUUUAACCUCCUUUAACCUUAUUUAUUUGUUUAACUGUCAUGUUUGUUGUUAUUUAAUUAAACAAAUUCCACUGAGAAAUUCAAAAGUAUUAAUGUUUUUUUUUUUUUUUUUUAAGUGGCGGGGGGGGGCACCAUAAAGCAUUUGUGCUUAGGGCACCCAAAUGGCUAGCAACGGCCCUGCUAGAUCCGCCCCUGCAGGUAAAAUGAAGUGACAAACCGUCCAGGCUUUAUGAAUAUGAGCUACAAGCAUACUCUGAUGGGGAAAGUUAAGUGGCAAACUGUCAUACUUAGUUAAAUUCGUGCUGGAAUUACUCUGUGACAGCAGAAAUGUGCAUAAACUACUUACGGUAGGACGUUUUGCCAGAGUGGUUUGUUAGAACAGGUGUUGUCAUAGACUGUAAUUAAUAAUAAUAAUUAUAAUGGAUUGCAUUUAUAUAGCGCUUAUAUAUACUAGUAAGCUAAGCUUAUUGUGUGAUGAUUUCGUGUUCGUGAUGAUUUUUGUAGAUUUCUGAAGUUGCGGCAAGUGUAUUUUUAAUGUUCACAUGCCGUGGGCAGGACUGAAGAGCGGGUUGGCAAGGGAGAUCGCUUGCUGUAUGAUUGCUGCGUGUCUAUUUGUCCUAGCACAGCAGCUGUGCAGUAAACCAAAGUCACUACUAUUGUCUAUAGUGACUGAGUUUACUGUGUACUUUGAUAUUUACUGUUGUCUCAGGCCCUGAAAGACAGUUUUA
ensembl:lncRNA